GCCCCACGACCACCAUCCACCAAAUCUAGCCUCCGAAGCCGUAGAGGGUGCGGCCCUGGCGCUUGAGCGCGUAGACGACGUCCAUGGCGGUGACGGUCUUGCGGCGGGCGUGCUCGGUGUAGGUGACGGCGUCGCGGAUGACGUUCUCGAGGAAGAUCUUGAGGACGCCGCGGGUCUCCUCGUAGAUCAGCCCCGAGAUGCGCUUCACGCCGCCCCUCCUGGCCAGCCUCCGGAUCGCCGGCUUGGUGAUGCCCUGGAUGUUGUCGCGCAGGACCUUGCGGUGGCGCUUGGCUCCGCCCUUGCCCAGCCCCUUGCCGCCCUUGCCGCGCCCAGACAUCGCCGAAAGCCCCGCUCCUCUUGGCUGUGUGAGAUUUGAUUUUGGAGGAAGAGAACUCGAAGCUUGGGAUUGGAUUGGGGAUUUAGGAGUAGGUGGUGGUAUUUAUGGGGGGAUUUGAGAGGGAAUGGCGAAAUUUGGGGGGCUUUGGGGCGCGAGGUGGGAUCUAGGUCGAUCCGUGGGAGGGUGGCUAUGGAACGUUUGAUUGGGAUCCGAAGGGCGAGAUGGGUGGGAGAUUGGUCUCGCGGAUCGGUGACCUGGCAGGGGUUGUGGGGUAUCCGCGGAAAUAGAGCAGCAGGCGUUGGAUUGGAUUCAAGUUGGAGUAGUUUGGACCGGGCCAAAGGAACAGAAAAGAAGGCCGGGCCGCGUGAUAUGGGCAGUAGACCGUGUGGUAUCCAGUAUCUUUCUGUUUUUUCUUUUUUUCCUUUUUACUCCUGAGAGAAAUAGGUCCAUUCUCCAUUUUGCUUGGAUUCGACCAGACGGACUAUUUUUACUCUUGUAAUUUUCAAUCGGUGUGGUGGCGGAUCACCUUCACACCGUGUCAUCCAUUGAUUCGAUACAAAAAUUUGACAUGAAAUGUACCUGUAUUAUUAUUUCAUCGAAGAUAAACAGCAUUGUACCCUAGUUUAAAAAUGUAGUGUCGUACCUCCGAACCAAAAUAAGUGUCACAGUUUUGAAUUAGGCUUGCUUCAAAAUUAGGUCAAACCUGCGACACUCAUUUUCGAUCGUAGGGAGUAUAAUUUUCCAUUCAGCAACUCGACGAAGAACUAAGGAUAUACUUUCAGGUUUCAUAAAUAAAGCAUACUGCUCCCUCUGUCCUACAAAAGAUGUCUCAAGUUUGUCAAAAUUUGAAUGUAUCUAGACAUGACUUAGUGUAUAGAUGCAUUCAAUUUUAGUUAAAAUUGACGAAAUCUUUUGUCGGACGGAGAAAAUAAUAGAUUUCAUCAAGAAAAUAAUAAAGGGCAUUGUCGUGUGGCUUGGGUGCUGGUUUUGCCGGCCAAAACACCUGCCAGGUCACCCUUUCAAAUCUGAAGUUCCACAAUGAUGCCCUCUGAAUCAAAAGGUUGUGGUUGGAGAAAGAUGGUCCCUUUAGAACUCACCUCAAGCGACACCAGGACGCUGAGCGAUUUCUGUGUUGUGCCUGAAGAUUGAGAAUUUGGGGAAACAUACACCAGCAAGCAAGUCCUGCUCUAGAGGAUAAUUACAUGAUACCAACACCUUACCUCAGUUUUGUUGUAAUUUAUGUCUCGGGGGAACAAGAUUAUUUGGAAGGAGGAUAUCAUCUCAAGUGUAUAUCCCUCUGAGGAAUGAGAUGAUUAUUAGGAAUUAAUCUGUUUAGUGCAGAGCCGCAACAGUCGUUCUACAGACUAAAUGUUGAAUGUACCAUUUGAAGUUUAAGACUCUGAUACUUGCUCUUCGGAGCUUGGAUAUGCCAUUAAAAAGUUAGCUAGAUUGCAUAUUUGUAUGAGUACCACGACAUAAACAUCCCCAGGCUGCAAUUUGUAAAGCUGCAUGAUUCAUUCAACUCUGAACUCUGAAGGAAGACUUGAUAAACAAACGAGGUGCUCUUGAGUCUUGACUGAACCGAACAACAAAAUGUUCAAUCUCGUCUACAGAAUGCAGAGUGUAAACGACAUGGAAGAAAGAAAAAUACAGAUUCAAUCACGGUAUGGCAUACUGCCCAGAAAUUUUUGCAGCGCAGGAAUACAACCUGAAAUCUGAAAUCUGAAACCGAUAAGUGAAAUUGACAAACUUGGAAGAUAGAAAAGACCGUGAAACUGAAAUUGGCAAGGUGUAACCAUGAAACUGACAAAAAAAUAGCUGCACAGAAAUGCGACCUUAAAUCUGAAACUAAACAGGUGAAACCGUGAAACUGACAAGCUCGGAACACAAUUGGUGAGGGCUCAUGAUCGGAACGCUUCCAUUGAACACGAAGUAUUACAGCCUGCCACACACAAGAAGAAACACAACGCCGCACGCCGCCGGAGUAACUCCCAUCUACCACAAGCACAUAUCACACAAAGUCAGAACACGCUCCUGAAGAACUAAAGCUCCACAACAACCAUCCACCAAAUCUAGCCUCCGAAGCCGUAGAGGGUGCGGCCCUGGCGCUUGAGCGCGUAGACGACGUCCAUGGCGGUGACGGUCUUGCGGCGGGCGUGCUCGGUGUAGGUGACGGCGUCGCGGAUGACGUUCUCGAGGAAGAUCUUGAGGACGCCGCGGGUCUCCUCGUAGAUCAGCCCGGAGAUGCGCUUCACGCCGCCCCUCCUGGCCAGCCUACGGAUCGCCGGCUUGG
rnacentral:lncRNA from 1 species